GACGAACGCUGGCGGCGUGCUUAACACAUGCAAGUCGAACGGAAAGGCCCUGCUUGCAGGGUACUCGAGUGGCGAACGGGUGAGUAACACGUGGGUGAUCUGCCCUGCACUUCGGGAUAAGCUUGGGAAACUGGGUCUAAUACCGGAUAGGACCGCACUUUAGUGUGUGUGGUGGAAAGUUUUUUCGGUGUAGGAUGAGCUCGCGGCCUAUCAGCUUGUUGGUGGGGUAAUGGCCUACCAAGGCGGCGACGGGUAGCCGGCCUGAGAGGGUGUACGGCCACAUUGGGACUGAGAUACGGCCCAGACUCCUACGGGAGGCAGCAGUGGGGAAUAUUGCACAAUGGGCGCAAGCCUGAUGCAGCGACGCCGCGUGGGGGAUGAAGGCCUUCGGGUUGUAAACUCCUUUCGCUAGGGACGAAGCUUUUUGUGACGGUACCUAGAUAAGAAGCACCGGCUAACUACGU
rnacentral:rRNA from 1 species